UUGAGGGAUUAUUUAUUUAUUUAUUUAUAUUGCCCUUUAUUUUACAUCACUGUAAAUUAUUAAAUAAUAAAAAAUAGUGUUUGUUAUUUAGAUCAAUCAAUAUAGCUCAUUGGGCAGAGCACAAGACUCUUAAUCUCAGGGCCAUCCUUUGAGCCCCAUGUUCCCAGGGUUCCCUGGCAAGAAGGGAACUCUACCCCUAACAAAAUCCUAACCCUAACCCAGGGCCAUGGGCCAGAUCACUCCCACAGAAAUCACAUCUGUGCGUGUCUGCGGCUCUGGAAAUUGCUUCUGCGCAUGCCCAGACGCUGAAAAUCACUGGGACAGCUCAGUCUGCAGAGCAGGAGACUUUCCAUCUCAAAGUCCUGGGUUUGAGGGGCAAAAAGAUUCUUCCCUUGCAGAGGGUUGGACUACAAAAGGACCUUUGCUUUCCUGCUCUCUCCCAAACUGGGAAACUCCCAAUGGAAAGUGCUCUGACCUUUCUCUUUUUCUUCAUAGGGGUUUUCACACCGUACAGUAUCUGCUCUCUGACCGGGCUUGGUUUAAAAGCCUCCAAGUAUUCCUUGGAUCGAGCAGUGCUAAUAUUUGCUCUGCUAAUCUUUCCACCAAAGCUGGCUGGCUUCUGGAUUAAACACUGGAUUACGUUCUGUAUUUAAAACAAAUGUCAAAUCAAUCAAAAAAUUUCAAGAGAAAUGCUAAAAAUAUACUUGAGACGAGACAAUUUAAGGAAAAUUCACCAGAAAGUAUUCCUCUUUGUUGCGGUUAGUGGCUGUGGACAUGGCAUAACAUUACAGCACAUGACUCCACCCCCGAAGAAUCAUGGGAACUGUAGUUUGCCCCUAAACUAUAAGUCUCAGCACAACACAUGACUGGCUUUUCAUAGAGACCACUUGCAAAAACUUGUGGUGCUAGAAGAUCUUGCGCCUUAUAUUUACCCUGGGAUCCCAACCACCCUUGCCCAGGACACCAGACUCAGCUCUACGGCUGCAAAUAUAAUGUUUGAAGGUGCAUUAUACAAACGUGACACUAGAUGGCAAUUGUGAGGUUAUGGCAAAUUCAAUAUAUUCUUCAAAACACCUUUUUUUUUGAAAAAGUGUUUUCAUUUUUAGAUUCCACCACAGGAACACAGGUUCAACGGAGUUUCUGUCCAUCUGAAGAUCAUAAGGCCUUUUGUGCCUAUAUCAAUCCCUCGGGUGGUAAAAUCAAAGAAGUACAAAAUACUUUACAACUAUAUAUAAAAAUAUAUAUAAAUUCCAGCACACAGAGGAGCCUUUGCUGGAAGGCUGCGGGGCUAUGCCUGGGAAUCAAACUCACUGAACUUCAAAGAACUUCUGAGAGAAUGUGUAUAGGAUUGCACUAUAAAGGCCUAAAAUUUUGACCAAGAUUCAUGGGUUUGAGUCCCAUGUUGCGCGAAAGAUUCCUGCAUGACCCUUGGGGUCCCUUCCAACUCUACAAUUAGCGAAGUAUACAUCAAUAUAAAAUAAAAAUGUGCUUUUAAUGAAAGGGC